rnacentral:rRNA from 1 species
UUAAGCUGCGGAAUAACAGAGAGAAAUUUCUGCUAAUGCCGUAUGUGCCCGGAAGGGGAAAGAUUUAUCGGCUUAAGAUGAGCCCGCGUUGGAUUAGCUGGUUGGUGGGGUAAAGGCCUACCAAGGCGACGAUCCAUAGCUGGUCUGAGAGGAUGAUCAGCCACACUGGGACUGAGACACGGCCCAGACUCCUACGGGAGGCAGCAGUGGGGAAUAUUGGACAAUGGGCGCAAGCCUGAUCCAGCCAUGCCGCGUGAGUGAUGAAGGCCUUAGGGUUGUAAAGCUCUUUCA